GACGAACGCUGGCGGCGCGCCUAACACAUGCAAGUCGAACGGAGCUGAGAGAAGCUUGCUUUUCUUAGCUUAGUGGCGAACGGGUGAGUAACGCGUGAGUAACCUGCCCUGGAGUGGGGACAACAGUUGGAAACGACUGCUAAUACCGCAUAAGCCCACGAUCCGGCAUCGGAUUGAGGGAAAAGGAUUUAUUCGCUUCAGGAUGGACUCGCGUCCAAUUAGCUAGUUGGUGAGGUAACGGCCCACCAAGGCGACGAUUGGUAGCCGGACUGAGAGGUUGAACGGCCACAUUGGGACUGAGACACGGCCCAGACUCCUACGGGAGGCAGCAGUGGGGGAUAUUGCACAAUGGGGGAAACCCUGAUGCAGCGACGCCGCGUGGAGGAAGAAGGUUUUCGGAUUGUAAACUCCUGUCGUUAGGGACGAUAAUGACGGUACCUAACAAGAAAGCACCGGCUAACUACGUG
rnacentral:rRNA from 1 species